rnacentral:rRNA from 1 species
UUGAGGACGUAAACAUGUAGCUAGAGGAGUACGAAUACCAAAAAUUUAAAACUCAAAAAGCUUGGCGGUGCUGACGUUAAUAAUUAGGGGAGCCUAUCUCCUAAGCGAUAGUCCUCGAUAGACCUUACCUUUUUAAAUCUAGUCUAUAUACCGUCGUUGUCAGUCAACUUUUAAAAAAGAUGGAAGUAGGCACAAGAGCCUUAAGCUAUGAUGUCAGAUCGAGGUACAGCCAAUAAAAAGGCAGGGAUGGGCUACAAUUAGUAUUCAUAAUACGGACAUGCCUUUGAAAUAGGGUAUUCAAGGUGGACUUAAAAGUAAGGAUAAUAUAAUAUGAAUUUCUUGAAUCGGUUGGCCAGCGUGUACAUAUCGCCCGUCGCUCUCGUUGUAAAAUGAGAUAAGUCGUAACAUAGUAGGGAUACUGGAAAGUGUUCCUGG